AAGAGUUGAGAAACACUGGCGUUUAAUUGGUUGGGGUCAGAUAAGAAGAGGAGUGACCAUUAAGCCAACUGUAGAUGAUGACUGAAGACUUCAAGUUAAACAAUGCCUUGGGAAGGAGUUGGAAUUUCUUUUACUAGCCUAGGGGUAUAUUUUCAAAGCAAUACUAGAAAGAAUUAAUUUCCUAGCUCAUUACCUUACUAGUAGCAGCUAUAAAUUUAUUCUUAUAUUUUGGCGAUGAAAAUGUGACCUCUACUUUUUUUUUUCUUUUUAUUGAUUCCUUGUUUGACAUCAUGUAGCCCAAUCCCAUUCAUCCCCUCAUAUCCAACCUUUGCCCAUGCGACCUCCCCCAAAGUAGCACACCAACAACAGAACAAAGCCUAGAAAACAUGCCAUCGUGGAAGCUGUAGCUUCUGUGACAACAACAAUGUUGGCUCCUCAUCAGGACUCCCUCCAGUUAUCCUGUUGCUGCGCUGUGUCAUAGAGAUCCUGCAGCUUUGGAACAGCAGGGUGGCCCUUUCACGAUCCCCACCAUUCGAACAUGACAUAGAUUUUAGGUGGGUCAAUUCAGAGCCCCGGAUAAGGGCCAGGAUGGUAGCUGAGCUGGUCAGCUGGGGCCCAUUCUUCCAAGUGCUGCGGCUUGUGAGAGCCUGGGCCAAUUCUCCCUACAGAAGGUGGCAACGGGGGAGGGUGUCCCAUCCACACCACCUCAUAACAGACAAGUGGCAGGGCCAGCUGUCCAGAGUGCUAUAUCCAAUGAGGGAUGGUGGCAGACCUGCACAGCCUCAGACACCCAGUGUUCCCUAGUGGUAAUAAUGAGCCAUGGACACUGACCCACCACUGUGGAUCCACAGACUCAAACAAGGCCCUGAUGGCAGGGAUGCCCACUUAUAACAGGCUACUUCUCUCCACCCUUGAAUUCCUUUUUCUCUCCCGUCUGUCAUGGUGACAAGCAGGUAUCUAUGCUUAUGCACUGGAGGGCAGGACUGUGGGUGGCAUGGAGGUCUACAAGACCUUGUGUUCCUCUUCUCAUGCCGUGCUGCCUUGCUUUAAUUUGAUUUUUAUGAGUCCUAGGCAUAAGACAAGGUUUGGCCAUCAAGCUAGGAUGAACAAAGGACUGCCAUCUGCUCUGCCCCUGAUAAAGAACAAUACCACCAAUAAGGGGUCUCUGCUGGUUGCUGGGGUUGUAACCUACUUCUAAUAUGGGGCUUAAAAUUAAAUGUGAAAAGUGGUAUACUAUAUACAUUGGAUCAAGUCUAUAUAGUAGCUAAAAUUAAGCAUUCCAAAGUAAUGUCUAAUUUAUCAAUCAAUGAAAGUUUGAAGUGAAACUUGGCUGCAACCAGUCUUUGGCGUAGCACUUGUAUCAUGAACCUGUCUAAGAUGAAAAUGAUCUCUUCUCAUGAUUCAUCUGUGAGUAGCUCCAUAGUGAAGGGCAAUUAGUAAAGGCUAAAGACUUACCCCUUUAUUUGUCCUUCUAUUUGGGGUUCUGUUGUCUGAAAUUUGAAGGAAUACGACCAGUGGGCUCAAAUGAGCACCACUCUUAGAAGUUGUGUGCCCAUUCCCUUAACACAGGUAGAUCUGUCUUACCCGUUUCCUGGGUGGGACCUUAGGAAUCCAGUGCCCUGAGACUAUGUCUUUAUUAUUUAUGCCUAGUAUCUCAGUCUUCCCACACUGGCAAAGAGUAUAGCAACUGGUGGUUAGUGAUAAUUGACAAGGUUCUGUCCAGGCUGCUUUUUUGAGGUCUUUGUUUUAGUAAGCUAUGAAUGGAGCUGUCUCUUGCAUGAUGAAUAAACACUCUACCAUUGUCUCCACUGCCCCUAGCUGUAGUACUGGCUGAUAGGAUUAUGGUGGAAAUUGUGUUAUUGGUAAUCUUUGAGCCUUGAGAGAGGUAGAAAUUGUUCAGAAACUGUGUCCUCUGGUUUCUAAAUCUAUUCCCCACGUGCCUCCAAUUUUCUUGUGCUGUGCAUUUUAAAUUAAUCAUGUUUUUUCUUAAUUAAAUACUCUUUCACAGCAAUGAUUUCCAACUCUGGCUGACGUAAGAAUUGCUGGGGAAGUUUGAAGGGGGGAAAAAGAAAGCUCUGGGGUGGAGUCCAGGCUUUGAUAGUUUUUUUUGUUUGUUUGUUUGUUUGUUUUUUUUUUUUGAGGAAACCUAUUGAUAUAUGUAUUUGAUUGACUCUAAAAAGUUGUUGUAUUGGAACAUGAAGAAAACAUUUAAAUAAAACAAGAUUCUGAAACAAGC
rnacentral:lncRNA from 1 species